ensembl:processed_transcript RIKEN cDNA 1700123M08 gene
GCGCUCCCCGCCAGUUUUGUGACGUCACGGAGGUCAGACAAUCCCUUCCAUUUGGCGCGGCUAGCCUAUUGGUUCCACGCGUGCGCGCGCCCCGUGACCACGCCCUGUUGCUGGUGAAGUAACAGCUGCUUUCAAGGUCAAGUCUGGAAUGUUCCAAGGCACUGGACAUGAGACAUUCAAGAGCCUGGAGAAGAGACAAACUUUGUCUGUGCAAGGCCAGAGACAAGUAAAGGAGCCAUGGCUACAGUUUGUGGACCAGUAGUCUCUGGACCCCCAGUCUUCAGACUCUUAGGCCAGGGCUUGAGUCUCAGAUUCUGUUGUUUGGCACAGUGAGUGAGCUGGGCAUCGAUAUGGAGUCAGGUAGAAUAGAAAACAGGUCUUACACUGAUACAUUACCUUGGUAAAGCUGUUGUGAGUGAAUACAAGGUUGGAUGAAUCAAGAACCCUUGGCAACAAUUGAUGCUCAAGAAGAAGGUGACUGUCCAAGAAGUAAUGAUGCCACAUCAAGUUGGCUCAAUAAAGAUGUGCUUUAUGC